rnacentral:misc_RNA from 1 species
AACCUAGCACACCUGCGGUGUGUACCUGCGGAAGGAUCAUUACCUAGAGUUGUAGGCUUUGCCUGCUAUCUCUUACCCAUGUCUUUUGAGUACCUUACGUUUCCUCGGUGGGCUCGCCCACCGAUUGGACAAAUCUAAACCCUUUGCAGUUGAAAUCAGCGUCUGAAAAAACUUAAUAGUUACAACUUUCAACAAUGGAUCU